GGACAGGUCUACUGCCAUCACUACACUGGCUGGGGAUGGGAAGUUCACUUCCUCUGAGCAAAAUUAGGAUCCUGAUCCCUCCUUCCCCAGGCUCCAUGCUUGGCUCCCUAAAAUCUCAGAGAUGCUGGACAGGCCAAGUUAGCACAGAGCGCUGGCUGCUGGGAGAGGCUCUGGGGUUUCAGAGCAGCUGCUUGGAGGACUGAGGUGUUGGGAGUGUCUCUUAGGGGGUUGGUGCCCCUAAGUCAGGCUCCCACUGAGGAAGUGAACUUGGACUUCUGUUCCUAAAGCAGGAACUGGCUGCCCACCCUUUGUGGGACCUCUGAAACCAAACUAGGGACAUCCUCGUUUUCUGUGGGAAGUGAGCAGGUGAACCCAGAGCGAGUGUGCGAUUUGAGAGGUUCCUACCUAAAGAACACUUGUCCUAGACUCCCGAUCCUGAGUGGGUGGCCUCCUAAAGGCCCUCCCAGGACAGAUACUGUGUAGUCAUUGUCAUGAUGGCUUCUACACCACUGGAGUCUAGGUCACACCCAGCCAUUCCUCCCUGUCUCUUAGUCAGAGCUGUACACUAGGCCUGCCAGUCACACCUUCACACAUGCACACCCGCACACACUCACACACUCAUUCGUACUUCAGUCUGGAACAAACUGAGUCUCUAUAUUAGGGGGAUGGCUUAGCCAGAACAGGCAAGAACAACCUGGGAGCCUCCCAGUGGUUUCGGGGACCCAGCCUGGAGGUCCCCAAGAUAUCCCCUGGACAGACGGAGCACAGGGCAGGAGGAGAGAGACAUUGGGGUGGAAGGAGAGUGAGUGAGAGUUCUCUCAGUCCCCAGUUCCCACUGGAGCUCAGAGGGACGGGGCCCUGCCAUCUGAACUCUGGCUUGGUUCAGCUGCCGGCUGUAUGAUCCCAGUGGCUGAGCGGAGUGACUCAGCCUCUCCUGGGCAUCCUGGUGAACAUCAAGAAUUGCCUCCUCCCCACCACACACACUAGUGACUCUGUAUUUCUUGGCAUGGAAAGAAAUAAAACUGAACAUAUAUGUUC
rnacentral:lncRNA from 1 species